CUGUUCUGUGAUUGAUCGAUGGGAAUGUGUCGCGCGGUCGGGUCGGGAGUACCCUGCUAUUUCUGAACGACGCUCAUUCUCAGCAACAGUUGGCUUGACAAGAGUUCACAGAAAGCCUGCUCGUCGCAAAAGGUUCGCCAUCGCACACGGAAGGAAAUAUCGAAACAAUAUGAAUGCUCCACGCAAAAUGUUCACGCGGAAAGCACUGCUGGUGGCGACACUGGUUCUGCUCGCUCUCGCCGUGCCCGCGCGAGCCCCUGACGGCCCGACGGGAAUCAAGCAGAGAAUUCUGGAGAAGGCUUGCUACCCUUCGUGCGAGUUCGUAGGAAAGCACUGCGGACAUUGCGUCCCCGAAGAUGACGGCACCGCACCCGCACCAUCCGCGAGAGAAGAGAUACACG